CCUACGGGUGGCUGCAGUGAGGAAUAUUGGUCAAUGGACGAGAGUCUGAACCAGCCAAGUAGCGUGAAGGAUGACUGCCCUAUGGGUUGUAAACUUCUUUUAUAUGGGAAUAAAAUGUUCCACGUGUGGGAUUUUGUAUGUACCAUAUGAAUAAGGAUCGGCUAACUCCGUGCCAGCAGCCGCGGUAAUACGGAGGAUCCGAGCGUUAUCCGGAUUGAUUGGGUGUAAAGGGAGCGUAGGUGGAUUGUUAAGUCAGUUGUGAAAGGUUGCGGCGCAACCGGAAAAUUGCAGUUGAGACUGGCAGUCUAGAGUACAGUAGAGGUAGGCGGAAUUCGUGGUGUAGCGGUGAAAUGCUUAGAUAUCACGAAGAACUCCGAUUGCGAAGGCAGUUCACUGGACUGCAACUGACACUGAGGCUCGAAAGUGUGGGUAUCAAACAGGAUUAGAUACCCGAGUAGUC
rnacentral:rRNA from 1 species